rnacentral:rRNA from 1 species
UACGAAGGGGGCUAGCGUUGCUCGGAAUCACUGGGCGUAAAGCGCACGUAGGCGGAUCUUUAAGUCGGGGGUGAAAUCCUGGAGCUCAACUCCAGAACUGCCUUCGAUACUGAGGACCUUGAGUCCGGGAGAGGUGAGUGGAACUGCGAGUGUAGAGGUGAAAUUCGUAGAUAUUCGCAAGAACACCAGUGGCGAAGGCGGCUCACUGGCCCGGUACUGACGCUGAGGUGCGAAAGCGUGGGGAGCGAACAGG